rnacentral:rRNA from 1 species
GACGAACGCUGGCGGCAUGCCUAACACAUGCAAGUCGCGCGGCCAGUAACGGCAGCGGCGGACGGGUGAGUAACGCGUAGGAAUGUGUCCAGAGGUGGGGGACAACCCCGGGAAACGGGGGCUAAUACCGCAUAUGACCUGAGGGUCAAAGCAGUAAUGCGCCUUUGGAGCAGCCUGCGUCCGAUUAGGUAGUUGGUGGGGUAAUGGCCUACCAAGCCUGCGAUCGGUAGCUGGUCUGAGAGGACGAUCAGCCACACUGGGACUGAGACACGGCCCAGACUCCUACGGGAGGCAGCAGUGGGGAAUAUUGGACAAUGGGGGCAACCCUGAUCCAGCAAUGCCGCGUGUGUGAAGAAGGUCUUCGGAUCGUGAAGCACUUUCGGCGGGGACGAUGAUGACGGUACCCGCAGAAGAAGCCCCGGCUAACUUCGUGCCAGCAGCCGCCGUAAUAC